rnacentral:rRNA from 1 species
UGCAUAUCCAAAAGCGGAGGAAAAGAAACCAACAGGGAUUGCCUCAGUAACGGCGAGUGAAGCGGCAAAAGCUCAAAUUUGAAACCCUCGGGAUUGUAAUUUGAAGAUUUGGCAUUGGAGAAAGCUAACCCAAGUUGCUUGGAAUAGUACGUCAUAGAGGGUGACAACCCCGUCUGGCUAACCGUUCUCCAUGUAUUGCCUUAUCAAAGAGUCGAGUUGUUUGGGAAUGCAGCUCAAAGUGGGUGGUAAACUCCAUCUAAAGCUAAAUACUGGUGAGAGACCGAUAGCGAACAAGUACUGUGAAGGAAAGGUGAAAAGAACUUUGAAAAGAGAGUGAAAUAGUAUGUGAAAUUGUUGAUAGGGAAGGAAAUGAGUGGAGAGUGGCCGAGGUUUCAGCCGCCCCUCGUGGGCGGUGUACUGCCGACGCCGAGUCAUCGAUAGCGAGACGAGGGUUACAAAUGGGAGCGCCUUCGGGCGUUCUCCCCUAACCCUCCACACUGCCACCGACGACAUAAUCCACCCAUUUCACCCGUCUUGAACACGGGACCA